rnacentral:rRNA from 1 species
CAGUCGCCGCGGUAAUACGGAGGGAGCUAGCGUUGUUCGGAAUUACUGGGCGUAAAGCGCGCGUAGGCGGUUACUCAAGUCAGAGGUGAAAGCCCGGGGCUCAACCCCGGAACUGCCUUUGAAACUAGGUGACUAGAAUCUUGGAGAGGUCAGUGGAAUUCCGAGUGUAGAGGUGAAAUUCGUAGAUAUUCGGAAGAACACCUGUGGCGAAGGCGACUGACUGGACAAGUAUUGACGCUGAGGUGCGAAAGCGUGGGGAGCAAACAGGAUUAGAUACCCCAGUAGUCCCUGUCUCUUAUAC